UGGUGGAGUGAUUUGUCUGGUUAAUUCCGAUAACGAACGAGACCUUAACCUGCUAGAUAGUCCGGCCGGCUUUGGCUGGUCGCAGACUUCUUAGAGGGACUGUCAGCGUCUAGCUGACGGAAGUUUGAGGCAAUAACA
rnacentral:rRNA from 1 species